rnacentral:rRNA from 1 species
UACGUAGGGUGCAAGCGUUAAUCGGAAUUACUGGGCGUAAAGCGUGCGCAGGCGGUUGUGCAAGUCAGGGGUGAAAUCCCCGGGCUUAACCUGGGAACUGCACUUGUGACUGCACAGCUGGAGUACGGCAGAGGGGGAUGGAAUUCCGCGUGUAGCAGUGAAAUGCGUAGAUAUGCGGAGGAACACCGAUGGCGAAGGCAGUCCCCUGGGCCUGUACUGACGCUCAUGCACGAAAGCGUGGGGAGCAAACAGG